CGUGGGUAAUCUACCCUUUGGAUUGGAAUAACCUGUCGAAAGACGGGCUAAUGCCAAGUAAGCUCUCUUGAACGUAAAGUUCGAGCGAGGAAAGAUGGUGCAAGCUAUCGCCGAUGGAUGAGCCUGCGUCCCAUUAGCUAGUUGGUGAGGUAAAAGCUCACCAAGGCUGUGAUGGGUACCUGGUCUGAGAGGAUGACCAGGCACACUGGAACUGAAACACGGUCCAG
rnacentral:rRNA from 1 species